UACAGAGGGGGCAAGCGUUGUUCGGAAUUACUGGGCGUAAAGGGCGCGUAGGCGGCCUUCUAAGUCGAACGUGAAAUCCCUGGGCUCAACCCAGGAACUGCGUCCGAUACUGGAAGGCUUGAAUCCGGGAGAGGGAUGCGGAAUUCCAGGUGUAGCGGUGAAAUGCGUAGAUAUCUGGAGGAACACCCGUGGUGCAGACGGCUUGCUGGACCAUGACUGACGCUGAGGCACGAAAGCGUGGGUAGCAAACAGG
rnacentral:rRNA from 1 species